rnacentral:rRNA from 1 species
UACGUAGGGCGCAAGCGUUAUCCGGAAUUAUUGGGCGUAAAGAGCGUGUAGGCGGUCCGGUACGUCCGCUGUGAAAGUCGGGGGCUCAACCCUCGAAUGCCGGUGGAUACUGUCGGGCUAGAGUGCGGAAGAGGCGAGUGGAAUUCCUGGUGUAGCGGUGAAAUGCGCAGAUAUCAGGAGGAACACCUAUUGCGAAGGCAGCUCGCUGGGACGUUACUGACGCUGAGACGCGAAAGCGUGGGGAGCAAACAGG